UACGUAGGGGGCGAGCGUUGUCCGGAUUUAUUGGGCGUAAAGAGCUCGUAGGCGGUUUGGCAAGUCGGGUGUGAAAACUCCGGCUCAACUCGGAGACGCCACUCGAUACUGCUAUGACUCGAGUCCGGUAGGGGAGUGCGGAAUUCCUGGUGUAGCGGUGAAAUGCGCAGAUAUCAGGAGGAACACCGAUGGCGAAGGCAGUUCUCUGGGCCGUAACUGACGCUGAGGAGCGAAAGCGUGGGGAGCGAACAGG
rnacentral:rRNA from 1 species